GACGAACGCUGGCGGCGUGCCUAAUACAUGCAAGUCGAGCGGACUGAAUGGGAGCUUGCUCUUGUUCGGUCAGCGGCGGACGGGUGAGUAACACGUGGGCAAUCUGCCCGCAAGACCGGGAUAACUCCGGGAAACCGGAGCUAAUACCGGAUAACACCGAAGACCGCAUGGUCUUUGGUUGAAAGGCGGCGCAAGCUGACACUUGCGGAUGGGCCCGCGGCGUAUUAGCUAGUUGGUGAGGUAACGGCUCACCAAGGCGACGACACGUAGCCGACCUGAGAGGGUGAUCGGCCACACUGGGACUGAGACACGGCCCAGACUCCUACGGGAGGCAGCAGUAGGGAAUCUUCCGCAAUGGACGAAAGCCUGACGGAGCGACGCCGCGUGAGCGAAGAAGGCCUUCGGGUCGUAAAGCUCUGUUGUGAGGGACGAAGGAGCGCCGUUUGAAAAAGGCGGCGCGGUGACGGUACCUCACGAGGAAGCCACGGCUAACUACGUG
rnacentral:rRNA from 1 species